UACAGGCCCCAGGGCAGCCAGGGCUACUCCCGCUUCCCACCUGUGACACAAGCAAGACACGGCCAGACUGGCCCGAAAUGGGGGAACCCACAUUUAAACUCUUCUGUCUGCCCAGCUGGGCCAGACAGCUCCAGAUUGGACCACCGAAAAUCAGCAGCACGUCCCCUUCUACCCCUCCGAAAGGUAUCAGCAUCUCAGACAGGACUGACCAAGGACAGAGCUGUGCAAUGUCCACCCAAGGAAGGAAACCAAUGACCCAGCUCCUUGGGGCCACGGGACAGCAGUCCUUUUCCCUAGAGCUCCCCAGCCCUCUACCCAGGGCAAAGUGCUACCUGGGGCAGCCUUUAAGCAGCUCUUCAGAAAGGCCAGACCCUCCUACUGACCCUGGAAGCUGUUGACUUGAAGGAGAUGCAGCUGGAGUCAGGUUCCCAUGAACACACUGUGGGACUCGGAGGCUUUAUUUCUUCCCACCCAGAAGGGCAUCCUUCAAUUUCCGGAGGGAAAUGAACAGAGGCAAGGUCAUGGGACCUCAUGGAGAGCUUCUGACUGCCCUAGGGCCUCGGAGGGAGGGGGCUGGUGUGAGGACCCAGAGCCCCCUCGGAGCCCUCCCCUUGGCCUGCUGCUUGGAGUCCCCGAGAAAUUCAUAUUUUCCAGAACUAGUAGAAUUAAGAUGACCGGCAAUCUUCACUGACCUUCUCCUCACUCCAGUGUCCCAGCACCAGUCAACCUCCCCUCGUCUGUCCUUCAACUGAGAUGCCAUCAGGAAGCAGCACAUAUUUCUUACAGUGAUAGAAAAUAUGUUAAAACCAUUUCACAGAAACAUAGGCCAAAAUGCAGGGAGAGUUGGCUCAACCAGUUUUGGG